GGUUAAGCGACUAAGCGUACACGGUGGAUGCCCUGGCAGUCAGAGGCGAUGAAGGGCGUGCUAAUCUGCGAUAAGCGCCGGUAAGGUGAUAUGAACCGUUAUAACCGGCGAUUUCCGAAUGGGGAAACCCAGUGUGAUUCGUCACACUAUCAUUAACUGAAUCCAUAGGUUAAUGAGGCGAACCGGGGGAACUGAAACAUCUAAGUACCCCGAGGAAAAGAAAUCAACCGAGAUUCCCCCAGUAGCGGCGAGCGAACGGGGAGGAGCCCAGAGCCUGAAUCAGCAUGUGUGUUAGUGGAAGCGUCUGGAAAGGCGCGCGAUACAGGGUGACAGCCCCGUACACAAAAGCGCAUGUGCUGUGAGCUCGAUGAGUAGGGCGGGACACGUGGUAUCCUGUCUGAAUAUGGGGGGACCAUCCUCCAAGGCUAAAUACUCCUGACUGACCGAUAGUGAACCAGUACCGUGAGGGAAAGGCGAAAAGAACCCCGGCGAGGGGAGUGAAAAAGAACCUGAAACCGUGUACGUACAAGCAGUGGGAGCACCCUUCGGGGUGUGACUGCGUACCUUUUGUAUAAUGGGUCAGCGACUUAUAUUCUGUAGCAAGGUUAACCGUAUAGGGGAGCCGGAGGGAAACCGAGUCUUAAUUGGGCGUUAAGUUGCAGGGUAUAGACCCGAAACCCGGUGAUCUAGCCAUGGGCAGGUUGAAGGUUGGGUAACACUAACUGGAGGACCGAACCGACUAAUGUUGAAAAAUUAGCGGAUGACCUGUGGCUGGGGGUGAAAGGCCAAUCAAACCGGGAGAUAGCUGGUUCUCCCCGAAAGCUAUUUAGGUAGCGCCUCGUGAAUUCAUCUCCGGGGGUAGAGCACUGUUUCGGCUAGGGGGCCAUCCCGGCUUACCAACCCGAUGCAAACUGCGAAUACCGGAGAAUGUUAUCACGGGAGACACACGGCGGGUGCUAACGUCCGUCGUGAAGAGGGAAACAACCCAGACCGCCAGCUAAGGUCCCAAAGUCAUGGUUAAGUGGGAAACGAUGUGGGAAGGCCCAGACAGCCAGGAUGUUGGCUUAGAAGCAGCCAUCAUUUAAAGAAAGCGUAAUAGCUCACUGGUCGAGUCGGCCUGCGCGGAAGAUGUAACGGGGCUAAACCAUGCACCGAAGCUGCGGCAGCGAACGUAUCACCCAAGACAACUUUACGGAGUUGACGAUUGACGGAGCGAAGCGACGUCAAAGCGUUCAUUAAAGUCGAGUUGGCUUAGGGAUACGUUCGUUGGGUAGGGGAGCGUUCUGUAAGCCUGUGAAGGUGUGUCGUGAGGCAUGCUGGAGGUAUCAGAAGUGCGAAUGCUGACAUAAGUAACGAUAAAGCGGGUGAAAAGCCCGCUCGCCGGAAGACCAAGGGUUCCUGUCCAACGUUAAUCGGGGCAGGGUGAGUCGACCCCUAAGGCGAGGCCGAAAGGCGUAGUCGAUGGGAAACGGGUUAAUAUUCCCGUACUUGGUGUUACUGCGAAGGGGGGACGGAGAAGGCUAUGUUGGCCGGGCGACGGUUGUCCCGGUUUAAGCGUGUAGGUGUGUGUUCCAGGUAAAUCCGGUUCACUUUAACACUGAGGCGUGACGACGAGGCACUACGGUGCUGAAGCAACAAAUGCCCUGCUUCCAGGAAAAGCCUCUAAGCAUCAGGUAACACGAAAUCGUACCCCAAACCGACACAGGUGGUCAGGUAGAGAAUACCAAGGCGCUUGAGAGAACUCGGGUGAAGGAACUAGGCAAAAUGGUGCCGUAACUUCGGGAGAAGGCACGCUGACACGUAGGUGAAGUGAUUUACUCACGGAGCUGAAGUCAGUCGAAGAUACCAGCUGGCUGCAACUGUUUAUUAAAAACACAGCACUGUGCAAACACGAAAGUGGACGUAUACGGUGUGACGCCUGCCCGGUGCCGGAAGGUUAAUUGAUGGGGUCAGCGCAAGCGAAGCUCCUGAUCGAAGCCCCGGUAAACGGCGGCCGUAACUAUAACGGUCCUAAGGUAGCGAAAUUCCUUGUCGGGUAAGUUCCGACCUGCACGAAUGGCGUAAUGAUGGCCAGGCUGUCUCCACCCGAGACUCAGUGAAAUUGAACUCGCUGUGAAGAUGCAGUGUACCCGCGGCAAGACGGAAAGACCCCGUGAACCUUUACUAUAGCUUGACACUGAACAUUGAGCCUUGAUGUGUAGGAUAGGUGGGAGGCUUUGAAGUGUGGACGCCAGUCUGCAUGGAGCCGACCUUGAAAUACCACCCUUUAAUGUUUGAUGUUCUAACGUGGACCCGUAAUCCGGGUUGCGGACAGUGUCUGGUGGGUAGUUUGACUGGGGCGGUCUCCUCCUAAAGAGUAACGGAGGAGCACGAAGGUUGGCUAAUCCUGGUCGGACAUCAGGAGGUUAGUGCAAUGGCAUAAGCCAGCUUGACUGCGAGCGUGACGGCGCGAGCAGGUGCGAAAGCAGGUCAUAGUGAUCCGGUGGUUCUGAAUGGAAGGGCCAUCGCUCAACGGAUAAAAGGUACUCCGGGGAUAACAGGCUGAUACCGCCCAAGAGUUCAUAUCGACGGCGGUGUUUGGCACCUCGAUGUCGGCUCAUCACAUCCUGGGGCUGAAGUAGGUCCCAAGGGUAUGGCUGUUCGCCAUUUAAAGUGGUACGCGAGCUGGGUUUAGAACGUCGUGAGACAGUUCGGUCCCUAUCUGCCGUGGGCGCUGGAGAACUGAGGGGGGCUGCUCCUAGUACGAGAGGACCGGAGUGGACGCAUCACUGGUGUUCGGGUUGUCAUGCCAAUGGCACUGCCCGGUAGCUAAAUGCGGAAGAGAUAAGUGCUGAAAGCAUCUAAGCACGAAACUUGCCCCGAGAUGAGUUCUCCCUGAGACUUUAGGUCUCCUGAAGGAACGUUGAAGACGACGACGUUGAUAGGCCGGGUGUGUAAGCGCAGCGAUGCGUUGAGCUAACCGGUACUAAUGAACCGUGAGGCUUAACCUU
rnacentral:rRNA from 1 species